rnacentral:rRNA from 1 species
AWSSSGGCSUKCCWWAAWMAUGCAAGUCGAGCGGACCAACGAGGAGCUUGCUCCUCAGAGGUCAGCGGCGGACGGGUGAGUAACACGUGGGCAACCUGCCUGUAAGACUGGGAUAACUCCGGGAAACCGGGGCUAAUACCGGAUAACAUCUUUCUCUGCAUAGAGGAGGAUUAAAAGAUGGCUUCGGCUAUCACUUACAGAUGGGCCCGCGGCGCAUUAGCUAGUUGGUGGGGUAAGAGCCUACCAAGGCGACGAUGCGUAGCCGACCUGAGAGGGUGAUCGGCCACACUGGGACUGAGACACGGCCCAGACUCCUACGGGAGGCAGCAGUAGGGAAUCUUCGGCAAUGGACGAAAGUCUGACCGAGCAACGCCGCGUGAGUGAGGAAGGCCUUCGGGUCGUAAAGCUCUGUUGUUAGGGAAGAACAAGUACCGUUCGAACAGGGCGGUACCUUGACGGUACCUAACCAGAAAGCCACGGCUAACUACGUGCCAGCAGCCGCGGUAAUACGUAGGUGGCAAGCGUUGUCCGGAAUUAUUGGGCGUAAAGCGCGCGCAGGCGGUCUCUUAAGUCUGAUGUGAAAGCCCACGGCUCAACCGUGGAGGGUCAUUGGAAACUGGGGGACUUGAGUACUGGAGAGGAGAGUGGAAUUCCAUGUGUAGCGGUGAAAUGCGUAGAUAUAUGGAGGAACACCAGUGGCGAAGGCGGCUCUCUGGCCAGUAACUGACGCUGAGGCGCGAAAGCGUGGGGAGCAAACAGGAUUAGAUACCCUGGUAGUCCACGCCGUAAACGAUGAGUGCUAGGUGUUGGGGGGUUCCACCCUCAGUGCUGACGUUAACACAUUAAGCACUCCGCCUGGGGAGUACGACCGCAAGGUUGAAACUCAAAGGAAUUGACGGGGGCCCGCACAAGCAGUGGAGCAUGUGGUUUAAUUCGAAGCAACGCGAAGAACCUUACCAGGUCUUGACAUCCUUCGCUACUUCCAGAGAUGGAAGGUUCCYCUUCGGGGACGAAGUGACAGUGGUGCAUGGUGUCGUCAGCUCGUGUCGUGAGAUGUGGGUAAGUCCCGCACGAGCGCACCCUUGAUCUAGUGGCWGCAUCAGUGGGCACYUAAGUAMCUGCGUGACGACGGAGAGGUGGGACGASUUCAAAUCAUUCAU